GAUGAACGCUGGCGGCGUGCCUAAUACAUGCAAGUCGAGCGAACAGACGAGGAGCUUGCUCCUCUGACGUUAGCGGCGGACGGGUGAGUAACACGUGGAUAACCUACCUAUAAGACUGGGAUAACUUCGGGAAACCGGAGCUAAUACCGGAUAAUAUAUUGAACCGCAUGGUUCAAUAGUGAAAGACGGUUUUGCUGUCACUUAUAGAUGGAUCCGCGCCGCAUUAGCUAGUUGGUAAGGUAACGGCUUACCAAGGCAACGAUGCGUAGCCGACCGGAGAGGAGGCUCGGCCACACUGGAACUGCGCCCCGGCCCAGGCUCCUCGGGGAGGCAGCAGAGGGCAAUCUUCGGCAAGGGGGGAAACCUUGCCGGAACACCCCCGGGUGAGAGAAAAAGUCUUUCGGUUCAUAAACUUCUUUUUUGGGGAAAAAAAAAAUGUGAACUUAAAAAGCCCCUUUUUGAGGUUCCUUACCAGAAAACCACCGGCUAACUACGUC
rnacentral:rRNA from 1 species